UAAGCGGAGGAAAAGAAACCAAAAGGGAUUCCCUUAGUAACGGCGAGCGAAAAGGGAACUGUCCAGCGCCAAGUCUUGACACUUUGGUGUUCAAGAGAUGCGGCGUUUAUGUAUUGGUGCAUCGUACAUUGUUGCUAGUUUCAAGUUCCCUUGACUGGGACUUCCAUAGCGGGUGAAAGGCCCAUAGAGACUGGUAGCCAGUGUAUGCAGACCAAUGCAUUUUAGAGUCAGGUUGCUUGAGAGUGCAGCUUAAAGUGGGUGGUAAACUCCAUCUAAGACUAAAUAUUACAGCGAGACCGAUAGCAAACAAGUACCGUGAGGGAAAGUUGCAAAGCACUUUGAAGAGAGAGUUCAACAGAGCGUGAAACCACUGGGAGGCAAACAGAUGGAACCACGAAGUGUGCGCUUCGGUCGAUUCAAUCAAAGCUUCAAGUUGACAAUGUUAGAUUUGGAUCUUUUCGAAGGUUGAUCUAAUGGUGUSGAAAAUUUGAAGCGUUGAUGCAUUUCGUGCCGAAGAUGCAAAGCCACGUUCGAUUAGAUAGUUGAUACGGCCGUAGGAAAGAAUUCAAGAAAGGUGAUUGUCAGAUGCUUGCGUCUGAUAAUGUUAUAGUCUUGAAUUGGCACCGUAAUCUAACAAACUGAUCGAUAAAAGUUCUCCAUUUGGAGUAAUGGUCAGGCUUGCCUAUGGCUGUUAGCUAAUGUUAUGAGAAGCUUUUAUGUAUCUUUGGAUGCUUAAAAGUUAUCAAACACGUUGGUUAAUGGUUGUUUGCGUUGUCUGAUGUAACUGUGGCGCGAGUAGGUCGGUGUCCAUCUGACCCGUCUUGAAACACGGACCAAGGAGCCUAUCAUAUACGCGAGUCGCUCGGUCUUGAAUAGGCCAGGGAGGCGUAAUGAAAGUAAAGCUACGAUACUUAGGUAGCAGUAGCGGCACGCCUACUUCGUUUAUUGGCGAUCAGGCGUAGCUGGAGCGUAUACGAUGGUACCCGAAAGAUGGUGAACUAUGCCUGGGCAAGACGAAGCCAGAGGAAACUCUGGUGGAGGUCUGUAGCGAUUCUGACGUGCAAAUCGAUCGUCAGACCUGGGUAUAGGGGCGAAAGACUAAUCGAACCAUCUAGUAGCUGGUUCCCUCCGAAGUUUCCCUCAGGAUAGCAGGCGCUUAAUAACACAGUGUCAUCCGGUAAAGCUAAUGAUUAGAGGCCUUGGGGUUGAAACGACCUCAACCUAUUCUCAAACUUUAAAUGGGUGAGAUGGCUGACUUUCUUGAUUGAAGCCAGCCAAUUGGAUGCAAGUGCCUAGUGGGCCAUUUUUGGUAAGCAGAACUGGCGCUGUGGGAUGAACCAAACGUCGAGAUAAGGCAUCAAAUGCGUACGCUCAUGAGACCCCAUGAAAGGUGUUGGUUGCUAUAGACAGCAGGACGGUGGCCAUGGAAGUCGGAAUCCGCUAAGGAGUGUGUAACAACUCACCUGCCGAAGCAACUAGCCCUGAAAAUGGACGAUGCUGUAGCGUGGAGCCGAUACUCGACCGUAACAAUGAUACUUUGUGAGAAUGCGAUAUUGUUACGAGUAGGAGGGCCGCAAUGAUAGUGUUGAAGGUGUCAGACGUAAGUCUGCCUGGAACUGUCAUUGUUGCAGAUCUUGGUGGUAGUAGCAAUUACUCAAGUGAGAAUCUUGAGGACUAACGUGGAGAAGGGUUCCAUGCGAACAUCAGUUGGUCAUGGUUCAGUCGGUCCUAAGGAAGCGGAGAAAUCCGUUGAAACAGCCCAAUUAUUAUAUUGAUUUGUGGUUGAUUUUCCGAAAGGGAAUCGGGUCAAUAUUCCCGAACUGAGAAGGGAGGGUAUGCUUUCGGGCAUUUAGUGCGGUAACGCAAUCAAAUUUGGAGACAUCGGCGAUAGUCCUGGGAAGAGUUGUCUUUUCUCUAUAAGGUAUCGAAUCCAUGAAAACAGCUUGUCUGGAGAUAUGGAUGUUGAUAGCGAAGAGCUCAGCGGUUCUUGCUGAGUCCGGUGCACUAUUGUCGGUCCUUGAAAAUCCAAAGGCGAGAUUUACCUCUCUGAUCAGCCGUACCAAUAUCCGCAGCAGGUCUCCAAGGUUAACAGCCUCUAGUUUCUAGAAUAAUGUAGGUAAGGGAAGUCGGCAAAACUGAUCCGUAACUUCGGGAUAAGGAUUGGCUCUGAAGGAUGGGCCGUUCGGGCUGUGAUCAGAAGCAGGUGAUGCGCCUGACUGGGACUGGACAGUGGCAACAUUGUUCGGACCUAAGUUGGCGUCUGCCUGUGGACGGUCAUGGCUACGCUCUGGCACCCCGUGUGCUGGAUGUCGUUUCGGGCGGCAUUAAACAUCUGACUCAGAACUGGCACGGACCCGGGGAAUCCGACUGUCUAAUUAAAACAAAGCAUUGCGAUGGCCAGAGAUUGGUGUUGACGCAAUGUGAUUUCUGCCCAGUGGUAUGAAUGUCAAUGUGAAGAAAUUCACUUAAGCGCUACUAAACGGCGGGAGUAACUAUGACU
rnacentral:rRNA from 2 species